ACAUAUCUCCAAAGUCUCAUUGGACCAGUCGUGAUCUCCUUUGCUCGAAUGAUCGAAUAGCCUAUAGUGGGAUCACAGCUACCCAACUCUUUCAAUGUGGCCUAUGUAAAAAAGGUACCAAAAUUUGUUGAUGGUCAAAUCCAAGUCGAAGAACUAGCUUAGAUUGUGGAACCCCACCAUCACACAGACCGCAUUUGGAGAACAAUGAGCGGGGGCACACUUUAUGGAGCAAAUCACUUCUUGGAAGAAAUGCAACAUGGGGAAAGUAAAUCCCAACACGACGUAGUAGGGGUGAAACUUACUGGCUCUCUGAGCCUCAUUAUAUGGCUCAUGGCUGCUACUUUCCUUGACAUGCUUCACAUGCACCCCCGACAGAAUGGCGUGCCUAUAUGCCUCAAGAAAGUCUCUAAAUGAGUCAUCAGAGCUAAUUACCCUUAUGGCUUAAAGAAGACAUGCUCGAGGAAAUUCUACAAAGAUGCGAGGAAAAUUCAUUAGACGGCUACA
rnacentral:lncRNA from 1 species